rnacentral:rRNA from 1 species
UAGGGAAUCUUCGGCAAUGGGGGGAACCCUGACCGAGCAACGCCGCGUGAGUGAAGAAGGUUUUCGGAUCGUAAAGCUCUGUUGUUAAGGAAGAACGAGUGUGAGAAUGGAAAGUUCAUGCUGUGACGGUACUUAACCAGAAAGGGACGGCUAACUACGUGCCAGCAGCCGCGGUAAUACGUAGGUCCCGAGCGUUGUCCGGAUUUAUUGGGCGUAAAGCGAGCGCAGGCGGUUAGAAAAGUCUGAAGUGAAAGGCAGUGGCUCAACCAUUGUAGGCUUUGGAAACUGGUUGACUUGAGUGCAGAAGAGGAGAGUGGAAUUCCAUAUGUAGCAGUGAAAUUCGUAGAUUUAUGGAGGAACACCAGUGGCGUAGGCGACUCUCUGGUCUGUAACUGACGCUGAGGCUCGAAAGCGUGGGUAGCAAACAGG